GACGAACGCUGGCGGCGUGCUUAACACAUGCAAGUCGAACGGAAAGGCCCUGCUUUUGUGGGGUGCUCGAGUGGCGAACGGGUGAGUAACACGUGAGUAACCUGCCCUUGACUUUGGGAUAACUUCAGGAAACUGGGGCUAAUACCGGAUAGGAGCUCCUGCUGCAUGGUGGGGGUUGGAAAGUUUCGGCGGUUGGGGAUGGACUCGCGGCUUAUCAGCUUGUUGGUGGGGUAGUGGCUUACCAAGGCUUGGACGGGUAGCCGGCCUGGGAGGGUGACCGGCCACAUUGGGACUGAGAUACGGCCCAGACUCCUACGGGAGGAAGCAGUGGGGAAUAUUGCACAAUGGGCGGAAGCCUGAUGCAGCAACGCCGCGUGCGGGAUGACGGCCUUCGGGUUGUAAACCGCUUUCGCCUGUGACGAAGCGUGAGUGACGGUAAUGGGUAAAGAAGCACCGGCUAACUACGUG
rnacentral:rRNA from 1 species